CCUAACUCAGCAAAUAGCCCCAAUAACCAUGCAACCUCUUUGUUACUGCUGCCAAACUUCUAUAUUCUACCUCUACAGAGCUCUUUGAGAUUGUGUGCUACUUUUUCUACUUCUGAGAGAUGAGUAAAUCACCAAAUUUGAUCAAAUAACUUGUAUUGACCUGCGUGUGUUUGGACAACUAGCUUAAUCAGCAUCAUAAGAAGUUAGUCAAGACGAUAAAAAAGAGAAAAUUACUAUAGAUCUAGCUAGGAUUUGUGGAAGUCUAGAUCUUACACUGCUCUGAUAUCAUGUGAGCUCGAUAAAUUUGAUUUCACACUUCGAUUUAUCAAUGGAAGCUCAAUUCAAGCUCUGCCAUGGCUGAGAAUAAAUAGAGGAAGAAGA
rnacentral:lncRNA from 1 species